CAUUAAGAAGCUAUGCCGGGCUCAGCGACAGCCUUUUAAGCUGUAGAUAGGUGCCUACCCACCACCCUUAAUGA
rnacentral:tRNA from 1 species